AGAGUUUGAUCAUGGCUCAGAUUGAACGCUGGCGGCAGGCCUAACACAUGCAAGUCGAACGGUAACAGGAAGAAGCUUGCUUCUUUGCUGACGAGUGGCGGACGGGUGAGUAAUGUCUGGGAAACUGCCUGAUGGAGGGGGAUAACUACUGGAAACGGUAGCUAAUACCGCAUAACGUCGCAAGACCAAAGAGGGGGACCUUCGGGCCUCUUGCCAUCGGAUGUGCCCAGAUGGGAUUAGCUAGUAGGUGGGGUAACGGCUCACCUAGGUGACGAUCCCUAGCUGGUCUGAGAGGAUGACCAGCCACACUGGAACUGAGACACGGUCCAGACUCCUACGGGAGGCAGCAGUGGGGAAUAUUGCACAAUGGGCGCAAGCCUGAUGCAGCCAUGCCGCGUGUAUGAAGAAGGCCUUCGGGUUGUAAAGUACUUUCAGCGGGGAGGAAGGGAGUGAAGUUAAUACCUUUGCUCAUUGACGUUACCCGCAGAAGAAGCACCGGCUAACUCCGUGCCAGCAGCCGCGGUAGUACGGAGGGUGCAAGCGUUAAUCGGAAUUACUGGGCGUAAAGCGCACGCAGGCGGUUUGUUAAGUCAGAUGUGAAAUCCCCGGGCUCAACCUGGGAACUGCAUCUGAUACUGGCAAGCUUGAGUCUCGUAGAGGGGGGUAGAAUUCCAGGUGUAGCGGUGAAAUGCGUAGAGAUCUGGAGGAAUACCGGUGGCGAAGGCGGCCCCCUGGACGAAGACUGACGCUCAGGUGCGAAAGCGUGGGGAGCAAACAGGAUUAGAUACCCUGGUAGUCCACGCCGUAAACGAUGUCGACUUGGAGGUUGUGCCCUUGAGGCGUGGCUUCCGGAGCUAACGCGUUAAGUCGACCGCCUGGGGAGUACGGCCGCAAGGUUAAAACUCAAAUGAAUUGACGGGGGCCCGCACAAGCGGUGGAGCACGUGGUUUAAUUCGAUGCAACGCGAAGAACCUUACCUGGUCUUGACAUCCACGGAAGUUUUCAGAGAUGAGAAUGUGCCUUCGGGAACCGUGAGACAGGUGCUGCAUGGCUGUCGUCAGCUCGUGUUGUGAAAUGUUGGGUUAAGUCCCGCAACGAGCGCAACCCUUAUCCUUUGUUGCCAGCGGUCCGGCCGGGAACUCAAAGGAGACUGCCAGUGAUAAACUGGAGGAAGGUGGGGAUGACGUCAAGUCAUCAUGGCCCUUACGACCAGGGCUACACACGUGCUACAAUGGCGCAUACAAAGAGAAGCGACCUCGCGAGAGCAAGCGGACCUCAUAAAGUGCGUCGUAGUCCGGAUUGGAGUCUGCAACUCGACUCCAUGAAGUCGGAAUCGCUAGUAAUCGUGGAUCAGAAUGCCACGGUGAAUACGUUCCCGGGCCUUGUACACACCGCCCGUCACACCAUGGGAGUGGGUUGCAAAAGAAGUAGGUAUCUUAACCUUCGGGAGGGCGCUUACCACUUUGUGAUUCAUGACUGGGGUGAAGUCGUAACAAGGUAACCGUAGGGGAACCUGCGGUUG
rnacentral:rRNA from 1 species